rnacentral:lncRNA from 1 species
GAAUUUAAUUUUUGAACGUGAAAAAAGCCUUCCAAACUAAAGGCAGGUUUUGCUAGCGCGAAUCAGGUUAAAGCAAGUCUUUUGGAGUUGACUGUUAAUCAUUUGGAACUUGUUCUUUGAGUGGUCAAGAAUCAUUUUCUCUGGAUUAUAUGAUUAAAGAGUUCAAAGGGUUCAUUAUUGCUUCAAAUAAGUGCUAGCAAGUUCUGUUAUCCUUCAUGCAAAGAGAACAGGUCUGCAGUAAUCUCCCACCGUUUAAAGAGUUACCCCAAAAGUGCCCUAUCCACCUUAAUUAAUCAUGUAUUAAAGUCAUUUUUUUCACUAGCAAGUAUAAGGGAAAAGAGAAGCGCCUUGCUCUCUCAGCUAUGCCAGUGAUGACUUAGUGAAAUCAGUGGGGUUAUUCAUCUCUAACUAGGGGCAGAAUUUGGGUCAUGAAGAACACGGAACUUCUUGACACAUGGGAGAGUUUUAUUUUGCUUCUGUUAAUUCCCUGGGUAUUAAAGACUGGCCUUUUACCUCUUCAUUUUUCUAAACCACUCUACUUGUGUUCCUUGACUUAGGUUCAUUUCGCUAUUUUAACUGGUAGCCAUGAAAGGAAAUUGCUGCCACUGUUAGAGGCUGAGAAUUAAAUGACCCCUUUUUGGCUGCAGCAUUAGAGGGACUCCAGUAGACCAUGUGCCACGUGAGCACUCAUCUCAGCCUUGGGAUCAUUCCGGAGAUGCACUUUUUCCUCUCUCCAGCCCCCAGGCAGGUGAUGUGGAGAAAAUGAACUGAUGAUGCAGAAGUAACACGCGUGUUUGAGCUAGUUAGGAACCAAAACACAUGCUUCCUACAGUGAGAAAAAUCAAAGAGUCUAUAUGAAAGCAAUGAAUGCUACUUCUGCAAGUAAAAUAAACAAGGAGAAAAACAGCGUUGCUCCACACUUCUGCUCCGAGUUCGUAGCCCUUGGCAAACAUCAUUAUCAUCUGCUUCAGCACUCCAUGUUUUGCUGGCAGUACCAGCUCCCUCACGUGCCCAUAAACCACCACUGGUAAUUAGGAACUUCAAUUCACUUUCUCGUGUUUGCGACUCCCCCUCAGUUUGUCAGAUGAAAAUUCAUCUCUCGUCUUAACAGAACAGAGCAAUGUUUGGAAGACUGGCCAUCUUGGCACACUCCAACUCUUGUCCAGUUAGCAGGUAGGCAGGUGGCAACACAGGACCAAAGAGGGCCCAUAAUUUCAAGCAUGUUCUUUCACCACCAUUCUUACCAGCCACUUCCAUACAUUCAUGCUGUCUUUUGCCAUUUGCAUCUACCCUUC